rnacentral:rRNA from 1 species
CUGCCUUGUGCUGUAGAUCUGGUUGUUGGCAUAGAGACCCUCCUUUUAGGAGACUUGUGCCACUACUAAGAUCUAGGCUGCUUGAAACGAGACGUAUGGACCCUUCUUUCAGGAGACCUAUGUCUCGAGUCAAAAGCAAGCAAGGCAAGCCUUUGGGGCUCUAGUACUAACUAUCCCCAAGGGUGUUUAUUCUUCUCGUGUAAACCAUGAUGUACGAAAAAAGUUAGUUGUUAACUUAAAAACAACUCUUGGCAAUGGAUCUCUUGGUUCUCGCAUCGAUGAAGAGCGUAGCAAAGUGCGAUAAUUAUUGCGACUUGCAUUCAUAGCGAAUCAUCGAGUUCUCGAACGCAUCUUGCGCCUAGUAGUCAAUCUACUAGGCACAGUUGUUUCAGUAUCUGCAACUACCAAUCAGUUCAACUUGGUUCUUUGAACCUGAUCGAACUGGAAAUGGGCUUGUGUUGAUGGCAUUCAGUUGCUGUCAUGGCCUUAAAUACAUUUAGUCCUAGGCAAUUGGCUUUAGUCAUUUGCCGGAUGUAGACUCUAGAGUGCCUGAGGAGCAACGACUUGGUUAGUGAGUUCAUAAUUCCAAGUCAAUCAGUCUCUUCUUGAACUAGGUCUU